CCUCCUGGUUCCUAGUCGGAUUUGUUAACCACUGCGCCACGAAGGGAGCUCCCUUUUUAACGUCUUUUUCUCCUCGCUCUUGAGAGUCCACGCUUUCAAGUGAGGAACGAAGGCUUUGUCUCUGGAGAAACACGUUGUCUAAGGCAACUCCUGAUUCCCACUGCGCAGUCACUAAAAGACUGAGGAAUAAGUAUCAGGCCUCCAGAAGCUCCCUCUGGCACUGACCAAUGAGCCCUAAUUGCUCUGUCCUGGGAAGAAAAUCAUUACCAACCUCAGUUUCUCCGCCAGGGCCUCCGCUUUGGAGAGUCUCUGCUUUCUGCAUCCCCAGCCCACCCCACCUGCAACACGCACCCAGCCCUAACUCGGUGCUUCUCCUUCUCUCUUCCUCUUUGCUUCCUACAAAGUCUAAGCUCUCCCAUUGCAAGGACAAAGGGUGUUCCGGUGAAGGGUUCAGGACACGCAAGUCAGAAAUAAAGCCAACGCUGGAAAAUUUCUGCGUCAGGUGUUUUUUACCUGGUUGGCCCUCACUUCCCCUUUCAUUCAAUAAAGUUGAGAUGUUGGGGAUGUGGUUGUUCGGUUUUGUCCUUGCUCUUUUCUCUCUCUCGCCUCACACCUCUACUCCAUCUGCUUCUUCAACUGACCCCUCAGAUGAGUAUAAUUGUUUAUUUAAUAGUCUGCACGAUAUUUGUGCUUUAAAAAAACACAAGGGGCAAAACAAAAGAAGGUGAUGAUAAACAUGAAGAACACAACAUUUAAGCAGAGGAAACCAAAGUGCUGCCUCCUGAGUGAUGUGAGCUGUUCCUGAAGCAGGGGAAGGAAAAAUGGGCAGAAGAGAUCCCCGCUCGUUGCUAGAAACACCUGCAGGUCCUUAGGGAAGGCCUCCCUUAAUGAGCUUUCUCGAAAGCUGUUUUCAGCCUAAUUUUUUUUUAAUUCCUGUGUUUUAAUUUACCUGUUUUCAAGCUGAAUCUAAUAAACUGUUGGUAGUAGGAAAAAGAGACAGUCCCCAAUUUGAUCAUAAUUCACCAGAUUUAAACCAAAAAAAAAAAGUUAGGAUUAGAGGGAAUUUAGUUCUUAUUUUUGAUAGUCACAAGAAACACAUUAGCCACUUUAAAUAGUUUUAGAUCAGAUUUAAAAUGUGAAAAAAAAAAUUCUUUUAUAUGCCCAAGCAUUUUGUUGAGUUACUUUUCUGGGCAAAAUUUCAGGAUUUUGGAGCAUAUUUAAAACUCCCAUGACACCAAUUUCAUUUUCUUUCAGUUACUUAAUUGACUUUAAAAAAAAAAUUGAUGCCAGCUCUUACUUGGCAGAAUCUAUAUAUCAUUCACAGCCAGUGCUUCACUUUCAAAUAUUCUUGGAAUUAGAGUAAAAUUGCCAGCUUUCACAAAGAAAAAUUCCAGGAUGCUCCGUUAAAUUAGAAUUUCAGACAAACAAUAAACAAGUUUUUUGGUAUAAGUAUGUCCCAGGCGAUACUUGGGAUAUACUUAUACUAAUGUAUUAUUGAAGUGACUUGAAACAACAGAAACGUUUUCUCUUACAGUUCUGGAGAAUAGCAUCUGAAUCCAGGUGACAGCAGAGCCCCUGUCUUCAAAGGCCCUAGGGGAGGACCCCUCCUGGCCCCUUCCAGCUGCUGAUGGCCCAGGCACUUCUUGGCUUGUGCUGCCUUCCUCUCGUCUCCACCUCCAUCUUCACACAGCGCCCUCCUCCUAAAUCUCCUUCUGCCUUUACAAGGACAGGAGUCACUGAAUCUAGGGCAAUUCGUAAAUCUAAGGUGAUCUCACCGCAAGAUCCUUAAUUCCAUUGCAUCUGCACAGACCCUUUUGCAAAUAAGGUGACCUCAACAGGGACCAGGUAUUCGGACAUGAAUAUAACUCUUGGGGUCGGGAGGAAGGUCACCACCCAACCUGCUGCCAAGGAGGGGCCUGAGGACCUAAACAGCAGCUGAGGGUGAUGAACUCCAAGCAGUUCACUGUCAGAAACAAAACCAAAGGAGGCAAAUCUGCAUGAGGUUCUUUCACCUGGUUCUCCCAUCACCGGCACCAGAUUCUUCUUUGGAAGAAGCAUAGGAAGGCCACCCAGUCACUCCCUCAAUAGACACUGAUUGAGCUCUUUGUAGGUAGGCACCGGAGUCUGGGAAUCCAGGUCUAGGUUCACUGGCUCCCGCAGUGCUGCGUGCAGAGGCCUGGCACCCGGCCCUUCAGAUCGGAGCUCCUGGGGAAAACGCCUGGGACGUCUGCAGAUGCGGCAAACCACGCUCCAUCCAAGACUGCGGCGGCGGCGGCGGCGGCGGCCCAAGUGCAAAGACCUGCAGCACUGAGAGCUGGAGCCUGAGCAAGGCGCCUGUGCCCGCCCCGUGAGAGCCCGCCCCUGCCCCCCACCGAGAGCCUAUGAAGCAGCCCCACCCCCACCCCGCACCUUGUUGGGCCAAGCGUCAGAGCUCCAGGGCCCUGUUCACACCUCUUCACUCUCGGAUCCAAGAAUAAAGCUUUCCUUUGCUUUCGA